rnacentral:tRNA from 1 species
GGGAAUGUAUUUAAUUAUAAUUAUUAAGUUGCAUCUAAUAGGUGUCUGAAAUGACCAUUCUUA